rnacentral:rRNA from 1 species
AGUGAACGCUGGCGGUAGGCCUAACACAUGCAAGUCGAACGGCAGCACAGUAAGAGCUUGCUCUUACGGGUGGCGAGUGGCGGACGGGUGAGGAAUACAUCGGAAUCUACUUUUUCGUGGGGGAUAACGUAGGGAAACUUACGCUAAUACCGCAUACGACUUACGGGUGAAAGCAGGGGAUCUUCGGACCUUGCGCGAUUGAAUGAGCCGAUGUCGGAUUAGCUAGUUGGCGGGGUAAAGGCCCACCAAGGCGACGAUCCGUAGCUGGUCUGAGAGGAUGAUCAGCCACACUGGAACUGAGACACGGUCCAGACUCCUACGGGAGGCAGCAGUGGGGAAUAUUGGACAAUGGGCGCAAGCCUGAUCCAGCCAUACCGCGUGGGUGAAGAAGGCCUUCGGGUUGUAAAGCCCUUUUGUUGGGGAAGAAAAGCAGCAGGUUAAUACCCCGCUGUUCUGACGGUACCCAAAGAAUAAGCACCGGCUAACUUCGUG